UAACAUAUAACAGUAAAGGGGAAGGCAAAAUAAAGGAGAGGGGGAAAACGGGAAGAAAAGUCCUGUUACUAUAAGUUCUUUUUCUGACAGGGGGCUGCAUGAAGAGACUCACAAUGCAAUGUUUUUGUACCCUUUCUCCAUGUUGCUGGAGGUGGGCAAGGAAAGCACCGGAGAUUUCAGCUUCUGUGUGAUGUCCCCUACAUUGCUUCCACUGCCAUCAGUCACUGGCUUUCCUGUCUCCUGGGAGAAGGGUACUACUGGCUCAUCGCUUAAAACUGGAAAAGCAACCUGCCAAAAUAAUUUUUAGGCACCAAUGUGAAUGAACUUGUCCUGCCUACUGAGUAGCAGCAAGGAGAACAGAAGCAUAUAGAGGGAAUUUUGAUUCCCACAAUCUUGACAUUUUUGGACUGGAGCAACACUGCUGCGACGUGCUGACAAGCUACUUCCAACUUCUGGUCACCUUAUGAGUUAGAGACCUCCAAAAGGCCUGUCAUUAACAUUCCUGCUCAGGUCUUGCAAACCUGGGCUGUGGCUUUCUUUGCUCUUCUUCUUUUCCAGCUUCCUUCAGCUUUUCCUAACAUUGUUGUCUUUUCCAAUUAGCAACAUUAAGUAAGUGAAAGAUUGCUAGAUCUGAGGAAUGAAAUGCAAUUUCCUUAUAAAGCUUAGAGAUUGAGAAAUUUAGGGUGGGACUGUCUAAAGCCAAAAGCCUUCCGCUACCUGUUCUUUUAACUGAAAACUAGUUUUUGUUGUUUCUUUCUGUUGUUUCUUUCUCCCAGAACUUGAAACUGGGAAAACUUGCCCAACAGUUCAUUUGGGUUAAAGUUGAAGUCAGUACUGUUUUGCCUUCAGAGAAGAAAUAUAAGUCGUUUCCUUGUUCCAAAUUGGUAAUUUACUUCAGAAGUCAGAAUAAGCAUCAGAGCUUGACUAGCUCAGCACCUCAAGCUAAUUUCUCAGUUGCUUGAAGGAAUUGUUACCCCAUGUCUUGUGUUCUCUGAAUGGUUCCCCUUAAAAUAUGUCCCUCAGGUGGAUUGUACCUUGCAUUCUGAUUUUUAAAACUCCAGAAAUUUCCAAGGUGUUUGCCUGCAAGAACAAAGAGUUUUAUGUUACAUUAAAAACAAAUAGAGCCUAUUUCUCAUAAGUUUUUGUGAGCUGCAGUUUCUUCUGAUACAUGAUGCAUUUGAUGAUGGGGGGGUGCAUGCAGUCCAUGAAAUAAAAUUCAUUCAUUCAUCGGCA
rnacentral:lncRNA from 1 species